rnacentral:rRNA from 1 species
AGAGUUUGAUCAUGGCUCAGAACGAACGCUGGCGGCGUGCUUAACACAUGCAAGUCGAACGCGAAAGUUUUCUUCGGAAGAUGAGUAGAGUGGCGCACGGGUGAGUAACGCGUAAAUAAUCUACCCCUGCAUCUGGGAUAACCCACCGAAAGGUGAGCUAAUGCCGGAUACGUUCUUUUAACCGCGAGGUUUUAAGAAGAAAGGUGGCCUCUGAUAUAAGCUACUGUGCGGGGAGGAGUUUGCGUACCAUUAGCUAGUUGGUAGGGUAAUGGCCUACCAAGGCAUCGAUGGUUAGCGGGUCUGAGAGGAUGAUCCGCCACACUGGAACUGGAACACGGACCAGACUCCUACGGGAGGCAGCAGUGAGGAAUAUUGCGCAAUGGGGGCAACCCUGACGCAGCGACGCCGCGUGGAUGAUGAAGGCCUUCGGGUCGUAAAAUCCUGUCAGAUGGAAAGAAAUGUAUAUGUAAUAAUACUAUGUAUGCUUGACGGUACCAUCAAAGGAAGCACCGGCUAACUCCGUGCCAGCAGCCGCGGUAAUACGGAGGGCGCAAGCGUUGUUCGGAAUUACUGGGCGUAAAGCGCGCGUAGGUGGUCUGUUAUGUCAGAUGUGAAAGUCCACGGCUCAACCGUGNAANUGCAUUUGAAACUGGCAGACUUGAGUACUGGAGGGGGUAGUGNAAUUCCCGGUGUAGANGUGAANUCGUANNUAUCGGNAGGAAUACCGGGUGGCGAANGCNACUACCUGGCNNGAUACUGACACUGAGGUGCGAAAGC